UACAGAGGGGGCAAGCGUUGUUCGGAAUUACUGGGCGUAAAGGGCGCGUAGGCGGCCUUCUAAGUCGAACGUGAAGUCCCCGGGCUCAACCCGGGAACUGCGUCCGAUACUGGAAGGCUUGAAUCCGGGAGAGGGAUGCGGAAUUCCAGGUGUAGCGGUGAAAUGCGUAGAUAUCUGGAGGAACACCGGCGGCGAAGGCGGCAUCCUGGACCGGUAUUGACGCUGAGGCGCGAAAGCCAGGGGAGCAAACGGG
rnacentral:rRNA from 1 species